rnacentral:rRNA from 1 species
GGUGUGCCUAAUACAUGCAAGUCGAACGCGUUGGCCCAAUUGAUUGAUGGUGCUUGCACCUGAUUGAUUUUGGUCGCCAACGAGUGGCGGACGGGUGAGUAACACGUAGGUAACCUGCCCAGAAGCGGGGGACAACAUUUGGAAACAGAUGCUAAUACCGCAUAACAGCGUUGUUCGCAUGAACAACGCUUAAAAGAUGGCUUCUCGCUAUCACUUCUGGAUGGACCUGCGGUGCAUUAGCUUGUUGGUGGGGUAACGGCCUACCAAGGCGAUGAUGCAUAGCCGAGUUGAGAGACUGAUCGGCCACAAUGGGACUGAGACACGGCCCAUACUCCUACGGGAGGCAGCAGUAGGGAAUCUUCCACAAUGGGCGCAAGCCUGAUGGAGCAACACCGCGUGAGUGAAGAAGGGUUUCGGCUCGUAAAGCUCUGUUGUUAAAGAAGAACACGUAUGAGAGUAACUGUUCAUACGUUGACGGUAUUUAACCAGAAAGUCACGGCUAACUACGUGCCAGCAGCCGCGGUAAUACGUAGGUGGCAAGCGUUAUCCGGAUUUAUUGGGCGUAAAGAGAGUGCAGGCGGUUUUCUAAGUCUGAUGUGAAAGCCUUCGGCUUAACCGGAGAAGUGCAUCGGAAACUGGAUAACUUGAGUGCAGAAGAGGGUAGUGGAACUCCAUGUGUAGCGGUGGAAUGCGUAGAUAUAUGGAAGAACACCAGUGGCGAAGGCGGCUACCUGGUCUGCAACUGACGCUGAGACUCGAAAGCAUGGGUAGCGAACAGGAUUAGAUACCCUGGUAGUCCAUGCCGUAAACGAUGAGUGCUAGGUGUUGGAGGGUUUCCGCCCUUCAGUGCCGGAGCUAACGCAUUAAGCACUCCGCCUGGGGAGUACGACCGCAAGGUUGAAACUCAAAGGAAUUGACGGGGGCCCGCACAAGCGGUGGAGCAUGUGGUUUAAUUCGAAGCUACGCGAAGAACCUUACCAGGUCUUGACAUCUUGCGCCAACCCUAGAGAUAGGGCGUUUCCUUCGGGAACGCAAUGACAGGUGGUGCAUGGUCGUCGUCAGCUCGUGUCGUGAGAUGUUGGGUUAAGUCCCGCAACGAGCGCAACCCUUGUUACUAGUUGCCAGCAUUAAGUUGGGCACUCUAGUGAGACUGCCGGUGACAAACCGGAGGAAGGUGGGGACGACGUCAGAUCAUCAUGCCCCUUAUGACCUGGGCUACACACGUGCUACAAUGGACGGUACAACGAGUCGCGAACUCGCGAGGGCAAGCAAAUCUCUUAAAACCGUUCUCAGUUCGGACUGCAGGCUGCAACUCGCCUGCACGAAGUCGGAAUCGCUAGUAAUCGCGGAUCAGCAUGCCGCGGUGAAUACGUUCCCGGGCCUUGUACACACCGCCCGUCACACCAUGAGAGUUUGUAACACCCAAAGUCGGUGGGGUAACCUUUUAGGAGCCAGCCGCCUAAGGUGGGACAGAUGAUU